rnacentral:rRNA from 1 species
GGAUUAGAUACCCCCGUAACUAAUUAUUUAAUUGAACUUAGUUUUAUAACUAAAAUAGUUUGGCAGUGAGUUAUUCCGGUCAGGGGAAGGUGUGUUUUAAAGGACGACCCGCCUAUUAAUUUACCCCAACUAUGUUGGUGUAUAUCUGGUUGAAUAUUAUUGCUUAGUUGCUUGAAUUUGUGUAUUAAUAUUUAAGCUAAGUCUAUGUGCUGCAUGUUGGGGUUUUCAUGCGUUACAUUUAUAAACUUUAAUACCUGUAAUGGUUUAUAUUUUAGGACUUGAUAGUAAUACUAAAUAAGU